rnacentral:rRNA from 1 species
UACGUAGGGUGCGAGCGUUAAUCGGAAUUACUGGGCGUAAAGCGUGCGCAGGCGGUCCGCAAAGUCUGAUGUGAAAGCCCCGGGCUCAACCUGGGAAUUGCGAUGGAGACUGCAAGGCUUGAAUCUGGCAGAGGGGGGUAGAAUUCCACGUGUAGCAGUGAAAUGCGUAGAGAUGUGGAGGAACACCGAUGGCGAAGGCAGCCCCCUGGGUCAAGAUUGACGCUCAUGCACGAAAGCGUGGGGAGCAAACAGG